UCUCUGUGUCCGAAGGAAACCAUUAAGGUGCCCCGCCUGGGGAGUACGCCCGCAAGGUUGAAACUCAAAGGAAUUGACGGGGCCCGCACAAGCGGUGGAGCAUGUGGUUUAAUUCGAUGCAACGCGAAGAACCUUACCUGGGCUUGACAUCCUCUGAAACUACCUGAAAGGGAUAGCUUCCGGCCAAAAGCCGGAACAAAGUGACAGGUGUUGCAUGGCUGUCGUCAGCUCGUGUCGUGAGAUGUUGGGUUAAGUCCCGCAACGAGCGCAACCCUCAUUCGAUGUUGCCAGCGUAAAGUCGGGCACUCUUCGAAAACUGCCCGUGCAAGCGGGAGGAAGGUGGGGAUGACGUCAAGUCAGCAUGGCCCUUACGCCCUGGGCUUCACACAUGCUACAAUGGCCGUUAACAAAGAGAACCGAGACCGCGAGGUGGAGGAAAUCUCAAAAAUACGGCCUCAGUUCGGAUUGUAGUCUGCAACUCGACUACAUGAAGCCGGAAUCGCUAGUAACCGCAGGUCAGCGAAACUGCGGUGAAUACGUUCCCGGGCCUUGUACACACUGCCCGUCAAGUCACCUGAGUCUGUUGCACCCGAAGUCGAUGGCCCAACCGCAAGGAGGGAGUCGCCGAAGGUGUGACCGGUAAGGGGGACUAAGUCGUAACAAGGUAA
rnacentral:rRNA from 1 species